rnacentral:lncRNA from 1 species
UUUGCACCGAUCAGGACUUGAUGGUUGGGAACCAGAGAGUGUGAAGAUUAUCAGUCCAAAUUCGAGCCCUGUCACAUAUGACUUCAACACCUCCGCUCCCAAUGAGGAUUGGUACGGAGUCAAUUUGUGCCAGAUACAUCCUCCUCCUUCUCCAUUUGAACCUUCGCCUCCUUUUCCAUUUAAACCUCCGCCUUCUCCUCCAUCUUCUUCGCAUCAGCAUCGCGUUCCCGGAUUGUUCGGGCUCGUAAUGAUUCUGGGAUCCAUCCUGAGUGCUCUGUUGUAAGCGCCCUUGAUGGUUUGUUUGGUUUUAUGUAUGUGAUUCUGGGAUAGUCCUAAGUGUUUAUGUUAUGUGCUUGCAACUACUAUCUGCCGUUAUUUUGUCUGCGGCAGGCACGAUUGGUGCAAUAAUAUGUCAUGUUGUUAUUAGUUGUAAUAGGAUAUUUAUCCAUGUCUGCCGGAUAUUUUGUAAGCUUUAUAAUAGUUGUGAACCGUGCUUUUGCAGCUAUUAAUUAACUAAUGUUGUUUUGUUAUUAACUACUCUUUGCAUAGCCCCUUCAAGAUGGGGGUUUUAUUUCAUGAUCAAGAUUUUCCCUUGAUUUGAUUAUAUUUUGGGAUAAAAUUAUGUUGCAACUAUGGUAUGCUACUGCAGUUGUUUUCAGUCGUUAGAUGUACAGUUAUAUAGUUAUAUUAGUUGGAUCUAAUGAUUGAAAACAAUUGUAGUAUCAUAUUAUAGUUGUAACAUAGUUGGACUCCAAUUUCAUGAUUGAUAGUUUAUAAAAAAAAAAAUUGAAUCUUCUUCAUUCACUAUCACUAAAAGACACAUUAAAAGAAAAUUUUAAAAAAAUUCACUAUCACUAAAAGACACAUUGAAAGAAGAUUUUAAAAAAUUCAUAAGAAAUCAGAUCAAGAAAUGAUCAUUUUCUUUCGUUUCAUGGCUUUGCCUUAAACGCAAUUGAGAGUGGCCUUGGGCUCUUGGACAUUUUAUUUAAGAAAGGUGCUGGAAUUAAUGGUGUCCCCGGAGGCGUCGCUAAAAGCAAUCGGCUAUAAUUUACUUGGUUGUUGUUUCGCAGCAAAGCUCGUGUUUCUUGAUGUGUCGUCUGUGUGGCCGUUGAUUUCAAUUCUCGAUUACGUGUCAUCUCUGUUCAGUUGAGUGAGCUUUUUCUUUUUUGGUCCCCAUUGCCUACAGCCACGAAUUUGAAAAACGUAAGACAUGUCGUCAUGUAGACAAAUUUGAACGGUGACGGUGUAGUAGUGGAGCCGAUUGAGACACGAUAUCGACUGAUUAAACUUACUUUAUAUGGGAAUCUUGUGAAAUUUUUAAUUAUGAUUUUUUAGGGUGACGACAACUUAAUUCAUUUUUCUAUAGAUGCAUGAGUUGGUUUUGAAUCUUAGUGCUUUUGAUUUUUACAUAAAAUUAUAUUAUCUCAACUAAAUAGUAUAUACAGAUUACAAAUGUUAUAAGAAUAUACUUUUAAGUGUUGUGAGAUGUUUUCAUUACUAAUUUACUAGUACUAACUUUUUUUUUUCUAAAAGAUAAAUUAAUUAGCGUCCAAAAUAUUAUUGUAAGAAUAUUAUUAUAAAAAUUAAGGAAAAGUAAUUUUUUAAAAGAUAAAUUAAUUAAUUUUAAGAAUAUUAUUAUAAAGAUAUUAAUAUGAAAAAAAUAACAUAAUUAAUUGUAAAGACAUUUUAAAGUGUUGUUAAAAAUAUAAGUGUUUUGGGGUAUAAAAAAUAGUUACUUGAGUUCGAGGAGAAAGUUAUUUGGUCACAUGUGCAAGCGCGACCAACGUUUUGUUAGGAGAAUAGAAUCAGGUCGCAUGGCUUUGGUUAAUAUCUCAUAUUGUUGAGCUUCAUUUGGAAGCUCAUCCGUAACGUAUGUGCACGCUCUGCUUUAAUGUUUAAAGCACAAUCAGACGUUAUAAUGGUUGCUCAACAACUAGAUAAACUGAUAUAUUAACUCUUAGAUUCAAGUGGCAUACUCAAUUUGGUAACGACCACGCAGUAAAGAACGAACAAUAACGCGCGACAUGCAUAGUUCUCUAUAAGAACUGGGGGAGAUCCAGAAAAUGGAUUUUGUUGGGGGUUUUGAUUAAAAAAAGAGAAUUCUGGAAAAAAUACAAAAUACUUAAAAUCACGAGUGUGACAUUAUUAUUUUCCUUACAAAGAAAAACCUGAUUGCUGACUUGAGCGUUGGAAGGUUUUUACUAGAAAAAAUACAGCGUCCCUGACAGUUUUCUGUUGUUACAGAUCAAAGGAAAUGUCAUUACAAUUCAAAUUCCACUACAGUAUCAAGCGACAAAUGCCCCAUCAAAAUAAAUUAAAGUGCUGGCGAGACAAUUGGGUCGCCGACCGAAUUACGGCAUCAACAAUAAAAAUUAAAUAAGAACUUAAGUUAAAAUAUAGAAAUUAAAUAAAGAUUUAUCCUAAGUUUAGAUAUCAAAUUUACUACGGAUCUUUGAUGGAGAAAGUUACCAAAAGAAACAAAAAGUCCAAAUUUUUGUCUUCAAAAGAUAGUGCACCUAGAUUGACCCUUAUAUACUAGAAGAAAGAGAUGGGAUUGAUUAUCCUUCACACAAGCUUCAAGAUAAUUCUUUUUAACCAAAAAAAAAAAAUUGUAAAAGGGAUUAAGAUGCGUACAAUACAUUUUUUUCCCCCAAAAUUGCGUAAAAUACUUGAUGAAAACAUGCAAGGCAGUGGAGUCAAACUCAAUCGAGACACUGAGUCAGUUAAUUUGAUAGUAUGGUUCACCAUUGUCGACGUCUGCAUGUUUUGUCAAAGAAUGACUCCCAACCGUUUUCCAACAGAAAAACGGGUGUAGUUGGCACUAUUGGUUAUUAAUUAUUUAUUAUUUUACAUUUUCUAAUUGAUUAUUUUAUCAGCUUCCACGUGUGGGUAAGUAUAGUAGAAUAUCAUUGAGGCUCUUUGAAAAAAAAAAAGAAAGUAUGUGCACCUAAUUUCGCUUGAGUAUCUAAUUUAACCAACCAAUUGUGGACCAUGAUAGCCUAGUCUUCUUGAUGUUACAGCCAUUAAAUUGCCAAUCGGUGCAAGCGGUUUUUUUUUUUUUUUAAAUAGUAAAUGAUUUCAUUUCCAGUAAAACACUAUAAUUAUAAUAAAAUUUCGAUCUUUAUUGGGACCUCUUCGAUCCACACUCGAGGUGUUGAAAUGAAAAAAAUCAUUUUUUUUCUAAAGCAUGGGCCACUAAGUUAUAAGACCUAAAAGUAUAAGCCAUUUGAUAUUGAUUAUUUUGUUCUAUCAUAACUCUAAUAUCAUAAAGUAUCCAAUCUAACUCUUCUCUACUAGAAGUACCAUUGAGAAUAAAGUUGACAACAUUCUUGGAAUCAUACCCUAUAAGAAGAGGAGAAAGAGCAACAUCCACUGCCAACUUUAUUCCUUCUAAAAUCACUGAAGCUUCCGUAAUUUCUACAUCUCAUAAGCAAGGUUUCUUUGAUGUUGCAGCAGCCAUUACGGCUCCUUGAUAAUCUCUGAGAAUCGGUGCAAGCGGUUUUGGCUCUAAAUGCUUGCUGGUCUUCUAGAAUCUCAUACUUAAUUAACUAGAGAAGUGGAUAGACCUUCACUACCAAAGGGUCACACUACCUCCUCCUUCGAAGUUCAUUUCUCUAGGAUAAUUAUACUUGAUUUUUUUUUCUAGGGAAAGAUUCAUUGGGAUAAAAACCCAAGCAGAAGAAAUAGAAUUUAAUAACUCAUAAUGUAGUGCCUAACGUGCUUCGAUUGUGAUGUGAUUAUGUAAAGCACAGAGUUAUAAUCAUGGACCAACUUGAAAUAUUACACUAGAAACUACUUCCACUUGGGUGAGAUAUUAUGCUCUUUAAGCAAUAAUUUCGUAUCAGUUCAAACAAUAACCUUGAUUGUGUUACUGAGUCUCAUGGCUUUUAGAUAAGUUAUUGAGGUAUAUGGCUUGUAGAUAAAUCACCGAUGAAGAAUAAUUUUCACCGAAAAAUACUAUAGGCUUCAAAUUCAGACUUUGAUGGAUUUGCUAUCUUCAAUUGAUCUUUUAGGGGUUUUGGAAUCUUCAAAUGCAUGGCUUUAUAUGUGUGUAAGAAUAUUCAAAUUCUGUCUUCAUUCUGUUGGGUUUUCCUUGCAAUAUUAGUAACAAAUAAAUUUAAAUAAAAAAAACACACAAUAGCUAGCCUCAUUUUUUUUAAUGUAGAAGAUCCAAAUUAAUAUGACAAUGAUAGAGAAUACGUAUAAUUAAAUAAACUAGUAAAAUAAAGAGUAGGGGAUAAGAUACUUUCUAUACCCGAGCAAUAAUCAUAUUGAUAACAUGUUAUAAUGUUGAUGAGUUUGGGUAGGAAGUAUUUAACAAUUUUAAUAGAUAAUAUAGAUGAUAUAGAGAUAAGGGGGCUGUGUCAUAUAAAUACAAAGUAUUUUUCUCGCACGCUUAAUUACGGUUGCGUUUGGAAUUGAGAUUGUUUAGUAGUAACUUAAAAGUGACAACACUAAAGUGUUUGGUAAAUAUUAGCUGCUAUAGUUUGUAAGCUAUAUUGAUAUGAUUUUUCUCUUGUAUAAUGAAAAUUUUAUUAUAUAUUUAAUAAUUUUAUCAAAAUAAUUAUUUAAAAUUUAUAUUUACUACAUAUUAUUAACUUUUAUUUAAUAGUUAUAAAAUUUUUUUUACAGAAACUGUAACUUAAAAACUACAACACCUCAAUCCCAAACGGAUCCGUUGUCCAAUUUCAAUUCCUGUCUCACUGGAAUAAUAAGCUUAAUUAAGUGCUCAGCUCCUUAGCUUUAUAUCAUAUAGCCCCCUUAUCUCUGUAUCAUAUAUAUUAUGCAUUAAAAUUAUUAAUAUAUUCCCUACCCAGAUUUCUCUCAGAUUUGAUCGUGCGAUCUUCAAAGUCAAAAACUUUUAAAAAAAGAAAAUAGUCCGCGUACCUAAACUCAAUUUUUCUAUGGGUGAAUCUGACCCGUAGGAAAAAUAGUACAAACAUCUAUUAUGAUAACGAUACAUUUGAGGACGAUGGCCAAAUAUUUUAUUUUGGUGAAGAUAAGGUUAUAUAUAUUUUAGUGGACUAUUGUCACGAAUUUUUAAUCUAUUUAAGAUCUUGUAAAUUAAAAUAUCAAAUAAAAAAUAAACAAACAAUAAAAUCAAUCAUAUAAUAUAAGAAUUUGCAUGAAAAAUUCAUAUAUUAAAAAAAACUAUAGCUACAAAGAACAAUAAGAGAAAAAUCUAUUAUGUGAAAAAUUAUUAUAAUUAAUUUAAUAUUUUUCUCACAUACAAAAUACUAAUAAUAUCCUAUCUUUCAAUAGAUCUACCAUUUUUCUUAUACUAAAAACUGUUUAUUUACAGAGAAAUUGAGUGAUUUACAAGUGAACCCAACUUUUAUAUUUAUAGUGAUUAUUUAUUGUACAAGUAAUAUUCAUUUUCUUAGAAGAAUUAUAUUCAGUCAUUGAAUAAGUUAAGUACUAAAACGAAAAGACUCAUUAAAUAAUAUUUUAUUUCUCAUCUGAAGUAGUCACAUUAUUAAUAAAUGUUCAAAAAAUUAUACAAAAGAGAUUUUUCAAGUUAGAUUGUCAUUCUCUCUUCUCAAUAUUAAAGAGUGACUUUUAUUUUCAAUUAAUAUUAUAUUAUUUUUUAUCUCAUUAUUAUUAAAAAAAUAAGUACUAUAAUUACUAUUAUUAUUAUUUUGGUUGAGAAAAUAAUUUAAUUAAAAUAAUAUUAAUUUAUUUUUAUUUAAAGAGUUUUUUAAAGGAUGUCAUAUUUUGUUAGGUAAAUAAAUAAGUAUUUAAAAAAUAAAAUUGAAAUAGUUUUGGCUAACGCUCAGUUGCUUAUAGAACAUGGCCGGCCGGCCACUACUCACACAGUGAAAAUAGUUAAAAGACAGAUUUGCCCUUAAGAGCGAUGGAACGUCGGGGAUUUGUAAAUUUCCCAAAAAACACAGGCUUGCUAACUUUUUAUUCACCCCACACGAUUCAACUACCCGCAGGCUGCGGCAACAUUAGCAUAUUUAAACAAGGUUUCUGGGGAAUUGAAUAAAAAAUUAACAGGAAAAAAGAAAAAAAAAUCGAAAAUCGAAAAUGAAAAUCGCAGCUCCCAUUCUGCUUCUGUUGGCCUUUGCGUUCACGCUAUCUGAAGCCGAAACGACGAGCUUGCAGCUGAAGCCUCGAGCUUUCGAGUCCUUUAACGUUAGUUAUAUUCAGGUACCGUAGUUAUUAUUUUAUCUCUCUCUCUUUUUUUAAUAAAUUUAUUAUUUUUUGAGUAGUUGUUGAUAAUCGUUUAAUGUUUUAACCAAAAAAUAGAACCUAGGGAGCUGUUCUUACACGGUGGUCAUAACUACCAGCUGUUCCUCAAGCAAGUACACUCGCGAUCAGAUCAGUAUUGCUUUUGGAGAUGCUUACGGCAAUCAGGUUUUCAAUUUUAUUUUUUAAAAUUUAAAAGUAUCUUUUAAUUUCUUCAGUUUUUAAAUCAGUGUUUUUGUCCUUUUUUUUUUUAAUGGUGAUUCUGGAUUUCAUUUUUAGGAAGGAAAUUGAUAAUUAGAUUUUUGUUUGCUUAAAUGGAAAGUGAUGACCAGUGAUGUAGAAAUUUUUAUGUAUUUAACUGUAGGCUUUUUAAUUUCAUUUUAUUUUUGAGAGCAGAGCAGAGAAAGUAUAUUAGGGUAAAGUUCAGUUGGCUGGAGUUAAUAAAUGCAUGGAUGUAAGAUCAGUUUGGGUUUGAAUUGCAGUGGUUUUAGUCAACAAUUGCUGUGAAAUUGAAUCACUUGUCGUUAAGUUAUAAAGUUGGCGAUUAGCAGUUGAGUAAACUUCAGUUGUGCCUUUUAAAUUAAGUUCAAGCACAACAACCAGAAAUGGGCUCGUAGUCUUAGUCUUUGCAUUGGGUUCUUUUCAUUUGAGAUCCUGUUCCUGGGCGAAAUGCUUUUGUGCUCUUGAAGGAGAUAUUUGUUUAUUUCAGCUUAACACUAUAAUACAAGUAGGCCACAAUGCCUAAUUGAAAAUGUUUUGUUCGGACCCAGAAUAGUCUCAAACUUGUAAACCAUCGUUGCGGUGGGGGGCACCUCCUUAGCUCCUUGCCUUCUUCUCAUGAUUGAUGGUUUGAGUGUCCCAGUUUGUUGUGCUAGUGUUUUCUUUGAAUUUCCUGAGUUCACUUUGAAGUAUGCUUGGCCAGAGCACAUAUCAAACUUCUUAUGAAAGUUGAACUAAUUUAAGGGAUUUUGAGUGGAAUUCUCGUAACCUAUUAGUAGAUGUGUUGUUGCUCCAUAUUAAAUACAACUGAAAGCAAUUCUUUAUGUAAUGCAUUCAUUUUGUUUCUAAAGGUCAGGUUUAUCUAGAAAUAUAAAACUACACUAUUCUUGUAGUCAAAUGUGGAUUACUAAUAUAUUUGAAACAUUUGUAAUCAGAUUUAUGCACCAAGACUUGAUGAUCCGUCUACCGAUGCAUUUGAAAGUUGCUCCUCUGAUACAUUUGAGAUAAGAGGACCAUGUGCGUAUCAAAUCUGUUAUGUGUAUUUGUAUCGAACUGGACCGGAUGGUUGGAAACCAGAGAGUGUGAAGAUUUAUGGUGCUAAUUCGAGAGCUGUCUCAUUUUACUACAACACCUUUAUUCCCAGUGAUAUCUGGUAUGGAUUCAAUCUGUGCCGAAGUGCUUCUUCUGCACAUCAACAACAUGUACCCAGAUG